UACGAAGGGGGCUAGCGUUGCUCGGAGUCACUGGGCGUAAAGCGCACGUAGGCGGACUCUUAAGUCGGUGGUGAAAUCCUGGAGCUCAAUUCCAGAACUGCCUUCGAUACUGAGAGUCUCGAGUCCGAGAGAGGUGAGUGGAACUGCGAGUGUAGAGGUGAAAUUCGUAGAUAUUCGCAAGAACACCAGUGGCGAAGGCGGCUCACUGGCUCGGUACUGACGCUGAGGUGCGAAAGCGUGGGGAGCAAACAGG
rnacentral:rRNA from 1 species